CCCUUAGAGUUUGAUCCUGGCUCAGGACGAACGCUGGCGGCGCGCUUAACACAUGCAAGUCGAGCGAGAACCAGUCCUUCGGGACUGGGGACAGCGGCGAACGGGUGAGUAACACGUGAGUAAUCCACCCUCGGUACCGGAAUAGCCCGGGGAAACCCGGAUUAAUGCCGGAUGGCCCAUUUGCUCUUCGGGGCGGAUGGAAAAGAUAGCUUCGGCCUUCGACCGAGGACGAGCUCGCGGCGGAUUAGCUUGUUGGCGGGGUAACGGCCCACCAAGGCGACGAUCCGUAGCUGGUCUGAGAGGACGAUCAGCCACACUGGGACUGAGACACGGCCCAGACUCCUACGGGAGGCAGCAGUGGGGAAUCUUGUGCAAUGGGCGAAAGCCUGACACAGCGACGCCGCGUGAGGGAAGA
rnacentral:rRNA from 1 species